rnacentral:rRNA from 1 species
GAACGAGUUGUCUGAACCUUCGGGGAACGAUAACGGCGUCGAGCGGCGGACGGGUGAGUAAUGCCUGGGAAAUUGCCCUGAUGUGGGGGAUAACCAUUGGAAACGAUGGCUAAUACCGCAUAAUAGCUUCGGCUCAAAGAGGGGGACCUUCGGGCCUCUCGCGUCAGGAUAUGCCCAGGUGGGAUUAGCUAGUUGGUGAGGUAAUGGCUCACCAAGGCGACGAUCCCUAGCUGGUCUGAGAGGAUGAUCAGCCACACUGGAACUGAGACACGGUCCAGACUCCUACGGGAGGCAGCAGUGGGGAAUAUUGCACAAUGGGCGCAAGCCUGAUGCAGCCAUGCCGCGUGUAUGAAGAAGGCCUUCGGGUUGUAAAGUACUUUCAGCAGUGAGGAAGGUGGAUGUGUUAAUAGCACUUUCAUUUGACGUUAGCUGCAGAAGAAGC